ACGCUGGCAACUCAAAAAACCUCCCGUAACCAUGACAACGCCACAAAACAACAAAAGACAGUUUACCAACACGAGUGACGUUUUCCAAAAUCAGUUUUAACGUUUGAUUUUUAGAAAUAAAGUUAACAUGUCGACUCUCAGUGGUUAUGACGGCGACGCUGUCGGUUUUGACGCCGUAACGUUGAGUAAACGUGAAGAAAUUAACUCUUCGACGCAAACUACUGAAUUUCAGGAAUCCGGAGUUGGUUCACAGACAAACGAGUGCAAGGAAACUGGGAGUUUAGCUACAGCUGAAGACUUAAAUGCUCAGGAUGAGAUUUUAAAAGAAUAUCCACCGCCAGGCUUGAACGAAUUCUUGAAAAAGGUCGUGCCAAAAAUGUUGGAACAGCUAGAUCAAACUGAGAAUGAAUUAGCAUAUAAUUCUUCGGAUUCUGACGAGGAAGAAGUGCUGACAGCUACUCUCUUCCAGGAGAUUAAACUGACAGAUUUGCCCGGGAUUGGGGGUGGUGAUGAAUCCCGUUGCGUCAUUGAUAUAUCUUGGAAUCGCGGCGGGACUUCUAUAGCAGUUUCUAUAGGCAAAAACCAGCAUGAAAGCUGGUGCGUUGACGAUGGUCUAAUCAGAAUUUUCACCAUGAAACGCACGGCUGGUGACACGUUUGUAAGAAGCUUAGAUUUAGCUGAAAAAACUUGUGUUACUAAGCUGAAGUAUCAUCCUACUGAGGCUGCCUUACUAGCUUAUGGUACAACUUCGGGCGAAGUUAUUUUAUGUAACCUGAGGAACUUAGAUGCGAUUUUGCUGACAUCCCCAGCCGGGGCUCAUGGGUCUACUCGAGUAAAUUGGCUUUACUGGGCUGAUGCGACCCUUGCUAACACAUUUCUGACCAUGCACAUUAUGAAUACAGGCAAACGACGUGGCGCUUCCGACCACAUCCUCAUUUCUGGGGGAUGCGAUGGCACAGUCAACGUUUGGAGGGUAAACGCGACCCAAAAGGUCUUCGAAAAUGUUAUUUGCUACGCUAUAAACGGUUCUAGGAACAUGAAUGCUCCGAAUAUCACGUGUUUUGACUUUAUAAAGACUUAUCCUUUACGGCCAAGUGACCAGAAAGUUCCAGAUGAUAUUUUUGUCGUUGGAGCCUCAUCAGGGAUGUUCUAUCUUUGCAAAACGAAGACUUACCAGCCUGUAGGGACUACGAAGACGGUGGAUCCGGUAUACGAGGUGUUCCAAGGCCAUAUGGCUUAUGUUAUAGAUGUCGCCUUCAGUUCUCAUAAGCCGGGGAUCUUCGUAUCCGCCUCCAUUGAUUCGGAGUUGAGGAUUUAUGAUAUUAAUCAGCCUAAUCCUUUGAAGGUAAUAUGCCUCGAUUCACCCAUCUCCUGCGUGGCCUGGAUGUCCAACAACCCGUGCGUGGUGCUCCUAGGGCUCGCCAAGCCUCAGGGCAGUUGCUUCAAGUGUAUAGCUUGAACAGUGGCCGGGUGUUACCUGUCGAAGGUUUGACAGGCACUGGGGUGCUGUCACUAAUAUUACGGUGAAUCAUUGUGGUAUUUGCCGCAUAGCAGCGGGUGAUGCGGACAGCAACCUGCACAUUUGGGAGCUCCCCUCUCGUCGCAUCUGGCUAACUCAGGAACACCUAGACUUUUAACUUUUUAACACCGAUUGUUUUCGUACGAUAGAACGUUUUCCAGCGAUGUACAGUUCCGAGUUCGUAAUUUUUUGGUACGAUCAGUUGUUACUAUAGACAAAACAAUUUAUUUCUUGUUUAUAGAAACUGGGCAAUAGUGUCUGAACACAUUACGAUAAAACUCAGCAUGACCUGCAAGCUCUGCUUGUCCGAAGUUAGCUACAGUAACUCAACGAUAGGACUACAAAGUUUGAAAUCGUCAAUUUUCUCUCCUCUCUGUCGUAGGUAUAUGGUGAUUAACGCUCAUUACUUCGGCUGCCCAGCAACGUCUGAUAAAUCGGUGACUGAUUUUUUGUAGGAGAAAAAUAAAGCACACUGAUAAUGAUGUCCUCCUAGCCGAUUAUCGGCCACAGCGGCUGUUCUCAUAUAAGGAGAUUAGCCAACUGUGCAGGACAUAUUAUAGUGCAGGCACAUUAGCUUGUACUGCGGUGCACUCAGUAUUCCUUCACUCUCAUAGCGCGAUGCGACGACAAUCCGACACCACCGGAGACAGAUCACAAGCAGGACCGACAUUUACGUGCUCAAAACACUACAAAAAGUUAGUUGGAGAACGUCCUACAAAAAAUCGGUCAUAUUAUCUGUCCUACAAAAUGUCGGACGUGGGUUUGCAGCCUUCUCUGUAUGAGAAGAGGCCUCAGCACAUGAGUGGGACGAUAAAAAGGCUGAUGAUGAUUAUACUGAAGUUAGGUACCUACUAAGUUGCUAUAUUCAGAACGGCAAACUUAAGACGGGUCUACGCUAGACGAACCGAGCACGAGCGAAGUACAAGCGGAGCCCUUCUCGGCCCCGUCGUUCGGGGCGAGAAGUGUGGACGUACAACGAACCUACAACGAUCACUGUUCUCGAACGUAGUUUUCCGCAGUGAGUUCGCGGCUCUUGGCGAAUAUAGACGAUAUUAAUAAUAUUGCAGUAGCCGCUGCUGUUGCAGCCAACCAAGCCGACAACAGGCAGAACGCAGCCGAGCACGAAAGAAAUGCUCGCAGCGCGCUCGUUAGAGGCUUGUUGUGACUCCACCGCAGCGGAGCUAGGCGGAGGGAAUAUUAACCAAUAGGAUUGAGGAGCAGAGAUUUUGUGCAAUCCUAUUGGUUAAUAUUUCUCAGUUUCUCCACUCCGCAGCCUAGCUCCGCUCCAGUGGACAGGCAGCCUAAGUUGGUCCACACUAGACGAAUUGUGUUCGGCUCGUGCUCCGCUCGUGCUCGGCUCUCUCAGCGUAGACGCAGCAUUAUGUGAUGAAAGCUACAUAUAUUCCUAUUUAUUUACGACUGAUUUUUAACGUUAGUAUUGGUUAUAGAUACCUGUUUUAGUUAUUAUAAUAUAAUAUUAUCUUUAAUUUACAUUUAGUUGCUUUUUUGUAAGAAAAUAAAGAGAAAUGUGAA